CGCAAUAUACGGCUGGACGACGGGUCCGUGAACGGCGGACAAGGUCGUCGUUCGCGAUUUUUGGCCGCGACGUGCAGCGCAGGAAAUCCAUUUUUGCUGCCUACAUAUUCGCGAAAAUCCGCGCAGGAGUUUUUUGGGUCGCCCACUCUGUCUCGACGGACGGUCUGACCGGCAUUCGAACGUCGGGUCACGAACUCGCUGUUGUCAGCCGGGGCAGACAUCGACAAUGAUCCUUUCGCAGGUUCAACUAUAGAAUCCUUGUCACGAGUUCUGUUUUCUCUAAACGAUAAUUCUUACUGGACUUCUCGCGUUGACGCUGGUUCGUCAGCGCCCGUGCGCGAAUCCCCGUUCGCAAUAUACGGCUGGACGACGGGUCCGUGAACGGCGGACAAGGUCGUCGUUCGCGAUUUUUGGCCGCGACGUGCAGCGCAGGAAAUCCAUUUUUGCUGCCUACAUAUUCGCGAAAAUCCGCGCAGGAGUUUUUUGGGUCGCCCACUCUGUCUCGACGGACGGUCUGACCGGCAUUCGAACGUCGGGUCACGAACUCGCUGUUGUCAGCCGGGGCAGACAUCGACAAUGAUCCUUUCGCAGGUUCAACUAUAGAAUCCUUGUCACGAGUUCUGUUUUCUCUAAACGAUAAUUCUUACUGGACUUCUCGCGUUGACGCUGGUUCGUCAGCGCCCGUGCGCGAAUCCCCGUUCGCAAUAUACGGCUGGACGACGGGUCCGUGAACGGCGGACAAGGUCGUCGUUCGCGAUUUUUGGCCGCGACGUGCAGCGCAGGAAAUCCAUUUUUGCUGCCUACAUAUUCGCGAAAAUCCGCGCAGGAGUUUUUUGGGUCGCCCACUCUGUCUCGACGGACGGUCUGACCGGCAUUCGAACGUCGGGUCACGAACUCGCUGUUGUCAGCCGGGGCAGACAUCGACAAUGAUCCUUUCGCAGGUUCAACUAUAGAAUCCUUGUCACGAGUUCUGUUUUCUCUAAACGAUAAUUCUUACUGGACUUCUCGCGUUGACGCUGGUUCGUCAGCGCCCGUGCGCGAAUCCCCGUUCGCAAUAUACGGCUGGACGACGGGUCCGUGAACGGCGGACAAGGUCGUCGUUCGCGAUUUUUGGCCGCGACGUGCAGCGCAGGAAAUCCAUUUUUGCUGCCUACAUAUUCGCGAAAAUCCGCGCAGGAGUUUUUUGGGUCGCCCACUCUGUCUCGACGGACGGUCUGACCGGCAUUCGAACGUCGGGUCACGAACUCGCUGUUGUCAGCCGGGGCAGACAUCGACAAUGAUCCUUUCGCAGGUUCAACUAUAGAAUCCUUGUCACGAGUUCUGUUUUCUCUAAACGAUAAUUCUUACUGGACUUCUCGCGUUGACGCUGGUUCGUCAGCGCCCGUGCGCGAAUCCCCGUUCGCAAUAUACGGCUGGACGACGGGUCCGUGAACGGCGGACAAGGUCGUCGUUCGCGAUUUUUGGCCGCGACGUGCAGCGCAGGAAAUCCAUUUUUGCUGCCUACAUAUUCGCGAAAAUCCGCGCAGGAGUUUUUUGGGUCGCCCACUCUGUCUCGACGGACGGUCUGACCGGCAUUCGAACGUCGGGUCACGAACUCGCUGUUGUCAGCCGGGGCAGACAUCGACAAUGAUCCUUUCGCAGGUUCAACUAUAGAAUCCUUGUCACGAGUUCUGUUUUCUCUAAACGAUAAUUCUUACUGGACUUCUCGCGUUGACGCUGGUUCGUCAGCGCCCGUGCGCGAAUCCCCGUUCGCAAUAUACGGCUGGACGACGGGUCCGUGAACGGCGGACAAGGUCGUCGUUCGCGAUUUUUGGCCGCGACGUGCAGCGCAGGAAAUCCAUUUUUGCUGCCUACAUAUUCGCGAAAAUCCGCGCAGGAGUUUUUUGGGUCGCCCACUCUGUCUCGACGGACGGUCUGACCGGCAUUCGAACGUCGGGUCACGAACUCGCUGUUGUCAGCCGGGGCAGACAUCGACAAUGAUCCUUUCGCAGGUUCAACUAUAGAAUCCUUGUCACGAGUUCUGUUUUCUCUAAACGAUAAUUCUUACUGGACUUCUCGCGUUGACGCUGGUUCGUCAGCGCCCGUGCGCGAAUCCCCGUUCGCAAUAUACGGCUGGACGACGGGUCCGUGAACGGCGGACAAGGUCGUCGUUCGCGAUUUUUGGCCGCGACGUGCAGCGCAGGAAAUCCAUUUUUGCUGCCUACAUAUUCGCGAAAAUCCGCGCAGGAGUUUUUUGGGUCGCCCACUCUGUCUCGACGGACGGUCUGACCGGCAUUCGAACGUCGGGUCACGAACUCGCUGUUGUCAGCCGGGGCAGACAUCGACAAUGAUCCUUUCGCAGGUUCAACUAUAGAAUCCUUGUCACGAGUUCUGUUUUCUCUAAACGAUAAUUCUUACUGGACUUCUCGCGUUGACGCUGGUUCGUCAGCGCCCGUGCGCGAAUCCCCGUUCGCAAUAUACGGCUGGACGACGGGUCCGUGAACGGCGGACAAGGUCGUCGUUCGCGAUUUUUGGCCGCGACGUGCAGCGCAGGAAAUCCAUUUUUGCUGCCUACAUAUUCGCGAAAAUCCGCGCAGGAGUUUUUUGGGUCGCCCACUCUGUCUCGACGGACGGUCUGACCGGCAUUCGAACGUCGGGUCACGAACUCGCUGUUGUCAGCCGGGGCAGACAUCGACAAUGAUCCUUUCGCAGGUUCAACUAUAGAAUCCUUGUCACGAGUUCUGUUUUCUCUAAACGAUAAUUCUUACUGGACUUCUCGCGUUGACGCUGGUUCGUCAGCGCCCGUGCGCGAAUCCCCGUUCGCAAUAUACGGCUGGACGACGGGUCCGUGAACGGCGGACAAGGUCGUCGUUCGCGAUUUUUGGCCGCGACGUGCAGCGCAGGAAAUCCAUUUUUGCUGCCUACAUAUUCGCGAAAAUCCGCGCAGGAGUUUUUUGGGUCGCCCACUCUGUCUCGACGGACGGUCUGACCGGCAUUCGAACGUCGGGUCACGAACUCGCUGUUGUCAGCCGGGGCAGACAUCGACAAUGAUCCUUUCGCAGGUUCAACUAUAGAAUCCUUGUCACGAGUUCUGUUUUCUCUAAACGAUAAUUCUUACUGGACUUCUCGCGUUGACGCUGGUUCGUCAGCGCCCGUGCGCGAAUCCCCGUUCGCAAUAUACGGCUGGACGACGGGUCCGUGAACGGCGGACAAGGUCGUCGUUCGCGAUUUUUGGCCGCGACGUGCAGCGCAGGAAAUCCAUUUUUGCUGCCUACAUAUUCGCGAAAAUCCGCGCAGGAGUUUUUUGGGUCGCCCACUCUGUCUCGACGGACGGUCUGACCGGCAUUCGAACGUCGGGUCACGAACUCGCUGUUGUCAGCCGGGGCAGACAUCGACAAUGAUCCUUUCGCAGGUUCAACUAUAGAAUCCUUGUCACGAGUUCUGUUUUCUCUAAACGAUAAUUCUUACUGGACUUCUCGCGUUGACGCUGGUUCGUCAGCGCCCGUGCGCGAAUCCCCGUUCGCAAUAUACGGCUGGACGACGGGUCCGUGAACGGCGGACAAGGUCGUCGUUCGCGAUUUUUGGCCGCGACGUGCAGCGCAGGAAAUCCAUUUUUGCUGCCUACAUAUUCGCGAAAAUCCGCGCAGGAGUUUUUUGGGUCGCCCACUCUGUCUCGACGGACGGUCUGACCGGCAUUCGAACGUCGGGUCACGAACUCGCUGUUGUCAGCCGGGGCAGACAUCGACAAUGAUCCUUUCGCAGGUUCAACUAUAGAAUCCUUGUCACGAGUUCUGUUUUCUCUAAACGAUAAUUCUUACUGGACUUCUCGCGUUGACGCUGGUUCGUCAGCGCCCGUGCGCGAAUCCCCGUUCGCAAUAUACGGCUGGACGACGGGUCCGUGAACGGCGGACAAGGUCGUCGUUCGCGAUUUUUGGCCGCGACGUGCAGCGCAGGAAAUCCAUUUUUGCUGCCUACAUAUUCGCGAAAAUCCGCGCAGGAGUUUUUUGGGUCGCCCACUCUGUCUCGACGGACGGUCUGACCGGCAUUCGAACGUCGGGUCACGAACUCGCUGUUGUCAGCCGGGGCAGACAUCGACAAUGAUCCUUUCGCAGGUUCAACUAUAGAAUCCUUGUCACGAGUUCUGUUUUCUCUAAACGAUAAUUCUUACUGGACUUCUCGCGUUGACGCUGGUUCGUCAGCGCCCGUGCGCGAAUCCCCGUUCGCAAUAUACGGCUGGACGACGGGUCCGUGAACGGCGGACAAGGUCGUCGUUCGCGAUUUUUGGCCGCGACGUGCAGCGCAGGAAAUCCAUUUUUGCUGCCUACAUAUUCGCGAAAAUCCGCGCAGGAGUUUUUUGGGUCGCCCACUCUGUCUCGACGGACGGUCUGACCGGCAUUCGAACGUCGGGUCACGAACUCGCUGUUGUCAGCCGGGGCAGACAUCGACAAUGAUCCUUUCGCAGGUUCAACUAUAGAAUCCUUGUCACGAGUUCUGUUUUCUCUAAACGAUAAUUCUUACUGGACUUCUCGCGUUGACGCUGGUUCGUCAGCGCCCGUGCGCGAAUCCCCGUUCGCAAUAUACGGCUGGACGACGGGUCCGUGAACGGCGGACAAGGUCGUCGUUCGCGAUUUUUGGCCGCGACGUGCAGCGCAGGAAAUCCAUUUUUGCUGCCUACAUAUUCGCGAAAAUCCGCGCAGGAGUUUUUUGGGUCGCCCACUCUGUCUCGACGGACGGUCUGACCGGCAUUCGAACGUCGGGUCACGAACUCGCUGUUGUCAGCCGGGGCAGACAUCGACAAUGAUCCUUUCGCAGGUUCAACUAUAGAAUCCUUGUCACGAGUUCUGUUUUCUCUAAACGAUAAUUCUUACUGGACUUCUCGCGUUGACGCUGGUUCGUCAGCGCCCGUGCGCGAAUCCCCGUUCGCAAUAUACGGCUGGACGACGGGUCCGUGAACGGCGGACAAGGUCGUCGUUCGCGAUUUUUGGCCGCGACGUGCAGCGCAGGAAAUCCAUUUUUGCUGCCUACAUAUUCGCGAAAAUCCGCGCAGGAGUUUUUUGGGUCGCCCACUCUGUCUCGACGGACGGUCUGACCGGCAUUCGAACGUCGGGUCACGAACUCGCUGUUGUCAGCCGGGGCAGACAUCGACAAUGAUCCUUUCGCAGGUUCAACUAUAGAAUCCUUGUCACGAGUUCUGUUUUCUCUAAACGAUAAUUCUUACUGGACUUCUCGCGUUGACGCUGGUUCGUCAGCGCCCGUGCGCGAAUCCCCGUUCGCAAUAUACGGCUGGACGACGGGUCCGUGAACGGCGGACAAGGUCGUCGUUCGCGAUUUUUGGCCGCGACGUGCAGCGCAGGAAAUCCAUUUUUGCUGCCUACAUAUUCGCGAAAAUCCGCGCAGGAGUUUUUUGGGUCGCCCACUCUGUCUCGACGGACGGUCUGACCGGCAUUCGAACGUCGGGUCACGAACUCGCUGUUGUCAGCCGGGGCAGACAUCGACAAUGAUCCUUUCGCAGGUUCAACUAUAGAAUCCUUGUCACGAGUUCUGUUUUCUCUAAACGAUAAUUCUUACUGGACUUCUCGCGUUGACGCUGGUUCGUCAGCGCCCGUGCGCGAAUCCCCGUUCGCAAUAUACGGCUGGACGACGGGUCCGUGAACGGCGGACAAGGUCGUCGUUCGCGAUUUUUGGCCGCGACGUGCAGCGCAGGAAAUCCAUUUUUGCUGCCUACAUAUUCGCGAAAAUCCGCGCAGGAGUUUUUUGGGUCGCCCACUCUGUCUCGACGGACGGUCUGACCGGCAUUCGAACGUCGGGUCACGAACUCGCUGUUGUCAGCCGGGGCAGACAUCGACAAUGAUCCUUUCGCAGGUUCAACUAUAGAAUCCUUGUCACGAGUUCUGUUUUCUCUAAACGAUAAUUCUUACUGGACUUCUCGCGUUGACGCUGGUUCGUCAGCGCCCGUGCGCGAAUCCCCGUUCGCAAUAUACGGCUGGACGACGGGUCCGUGAACGGCGGACAAGGUCGUCGUUCGCGAUUUUUGGCCGCGACGUGCAGCGCAGGAAAUCCAUUUUUGCUGCCUACAUAUUCGCGAAAAUCCGCGCAGGAGUUUUUUGGGUCGCCCACUCUGUCUCGACGGACGGUCUGACCGGCAUUCGAACGUCGGGUCACGAACUCGCUGUUGUCAGCCGGGGCAGACAUCGACAAUGAUCCUUUCGCAGGUUCAACUAUAGAAUCCUUGUCACGAGUUCUGUUUUCUCUAAACGAUAAUUCUUACUGGACUUCUCGCGUUGACGCUGGUUCGUCAGCGCCCGUGCGCGAAUCCCCGUUCGCAAUAUACGGCUGGACGACGGGUCCGUGAACGGCGGACAAGGUCGUCGUUCGCGAUUUUUGGCCGCGACGUGCAGCGCAGGAAAUCCAUUUUUGCUGCCUACAUAUUCGCGAAAAUCCGCGCAGGAGUUUUUUGGGUCGCCCACUCUGUCUCGACGGACGGUCUGACCGGCAUUCGAACGUCGGGUCACGAACUCGCUGUUGUCAGCCGGGGCAGACAUCGACAAUGAUCCUUUCGCAGGUUCAACUAUAGAAUCCUUGUCACGAGUUCUGUUUUCUCUAAACGAUAAUUCUUACUGGACUUCUCGCGUUGACGCUGGUUCGUCAGCGCCCGUGCGCGAAUCCCCGUUCGCAAUAUACGGCUGGACGACGGGUCCGUGAACGGCGGACAAGGUCGUCGUUCGCGAUUUUUGGCCGCGACGUGCAGCGCAGGAAAUCCAUUUUUGCUGCCUACAUAUUCGCGAAAAUCCGCGCAGGAGUUUUUUGGGUCGCCCACUCUGUCUCGACGGACGGUCUGACCGGCAUUCGAACGUCGGGUCACGAACUCGCUGUUGUCAGCCGGGGCAGACAUCGACAAUGAUCCUUUCGCAGGUUCAACUAUAGAAUCCUUGUCACGAGUUCUGUUUUCUCUAAACGAUAAUUCUUACUGGACUUCUCGCGUUGACGCUGGUUCGUCAGCGCCCGUGCGCGAAUCCCCGUUCGCAAUAUACGGCUGGACGACGGGUCCGUGAACGGCGGACAAGGUCGUCGUUCGCGAUUUUUGGCCGCGACGUGCAGCGCAGGAAAUCCAUUUUUGCUGCCUACAUAUUCGCGAAAAUCCGCGCAGGAGUUUUUUGGGUCGCCCACUCUGUCUCGACGGACGGUCUGACCGGCAUUCGAACGUCGGGUCACGAACUCGCUGUUGUCAGCCGGGGCAGACAUCGACAAUGAUCCUUUCGCAGGUUCAACUAUAGAAUCCUUGUCACGAGUUCUGUUUUCUCUAAACGAUAAUUCUUACUGGACUUCUCGCGUUGACGCUGGUUCGUCAGCGCCCGUGCGCGAAUCCCCGUUCGCAAUAUACGGCUGGACGACGGGUCCGUGAACGGCGGACAAGGUCGUCGUUCGCGAUUUUUGGCCGCGACGUGCAGCGCAGGAAAUCCAUUUUUGCUGCCUACAUAUUCGCGAAAAUCCGCGCAGGAGUUUUUUGGGUCGCCCACUCUGUCUCGACGGACGGUCUGACCGGCAUUCGAACGUCGGGUCACGAACUCGCUGUUGUCAGCCGGGGCAGACAUCGACAAUGAUCCUUUCGCAGGUUCAACUAUAAAAUCCUUGUCACGAGUUCUGCUUUCUCUAAACGAUAAUUCUUACUGGACUUUUCGCGUUGACGCCGGUUCGUCAGCGCCCGUGCGCGAAUCCCCGUUCGCAAUAUACGGCUGGACGACGGGUCCGUGAACGGCGGACAAGGUCGUCGUUCGCGAUUUUUGGCAGCGAGGUGCAGCGCAGGAAAUCAAUUUUUGCUGCCUACAUAUUCGCGAAAAUCCGCGCAGGAGUUUUUUGGGUCGCCCACUCUGUCUCGACGGACGGUCUGACCGGCAUUCAAACGUCGGAUCACGAACUCGCUGUUGUCAGCCGGGGCAGACAUCGACAAUAAUCCUUUCGCAGGUUCAACUAUAGAAUCCUUGUCACGAGUUCUAUUUUCUCUAAACAAGAAUUCUUACUGGACUUCUCCCGUUGACGCUGGUUCGUCAGCGCCCGUGCGCGAAUCCCCGUUCGCAAUAUACGGCUGGACGACGGGUCCGUGAACAGCGGACAAGGUCGUCGUUCGCGAUUAUUGGCCGCGACGUACAGCGCAGGAAAUCCAUUUUUGCUGCCUACAUAUUCACGAAAAUCCGCGCAGGAGUUUUUGGGUCGCCCACUCUGUCUCGACUGACGGUCUGACCGGCAUUCGAACGUCGGGUCACGAAUUCGCUGUUGUCAGCCGGGGCAGACAUCUACAAAGAUCCUUUCGCAGGUUCAACUAUAGAAUCCCAGUCACGAGUUCUGUUUUCUCUAAACGAUAAUUCUUACUGGACUUCUCGCGUUGAAGCUGGUUCGUCAGCGCCCGUGCGCGAAUCCCCGUUCGCAAUAUACGGCUGGACGACGGGUCCGUGAACGGCAGACAAGGUCGUCAUUCGCUAUUUUUGUCCGCGACGUGCAUCGCAGGAAAUCCAUUAUUGCUGCCUACAAAUUCGCGAAAAUCCGCGCAGGAGUUUUUCGGGUCGCCCACUUCUCUCGACGGACGGCCUGAACGGCAUUCGAACGUCGGGUCACGAAUUCGCUGUUGUCAGCCGGGGCAGACAUCGACAAUGAUCCUUUCGCAGGUUCAACUAUAGAAUCCUUGUCACGAGUUCUGUUUUCUCUAAACGAUAAUUCUUACUGGACUUCUCGCGUUGAAGCUGGUUCGUCAACGCCCGUGCGCGAAUCCCCGUUCGCAAUAUACGGCUGGACGACGGGUCCGUGAACGGCGGACAAGGUCGUCGUUCGCGAUUUUUGGCCGCGAUGUGCAUCGCAGGAAUUCCAUUUUUGCUGCCUACAAAUUCGCGAAAAUCCGCGCAUGAGUUUUUCGGGUCGCCCACUCUGUCUCGACGGACUGCCUGACCGGCAUUCGAACGUCGGGUAAGGAAUUCGCUGUUGUCAGCCGGGGCAGACAUCGACAAUGAUCCUUUCGCAGGUUCAACUAUAGAAUCCUUGUCACGAGUUCUGUUUUCUCUAAACGAUAAUUCUUACUGGACUUCUCGCGUUGAAGCUGGUUCGUCCGCGCCCGUGCGCGAAUCCCCGUUCGCAAUAUACGGCUGGACGACCGCUAUGUGAACAGCGGACAAGGUCGUCGUUCGCGAUUUUUGGCCGCGACGUGCAGCGCAGGAAAUCCAUUUUUGCUGCCUACAUAUUCGCAAAAAUCCGCGCAGGAGUUUUUCGGGUCGCCCACUCUGUCUCGACUGACGGUCUGACCGGCAUUCGAACGUCGGGUCACGAAUUCGCUGUUGUCAGCCGGGGCAGACAUCGACAAAGAUCCUUUCGCAGGUUCAACUAUAGAAUCCUUGUCACGAGUUCUGUUUUCUCUAAUCGAUAAUUCUUACUGGACUUCUCGUGUUGAAGCUAGUUCGUCAGCGCCCGUUCGCGAAUCCCCGUUCGCAAUAUACGGCUGGACGACGGGUCCGUGAACGGCGGACAAGGUCGUCGGUCGCGAUUUUUGGCAGCGAGGUGCAGCGCAGGAAAUCAAUUUUUGCUGCCUACAUAUUCGCGAAAAUCCGCGCAGGAGUUUUUUGGGUCGCCCACUCUGUCUCGACUGACGGUCUGACCGGCAUUCGAACGUCGGGUCACGAAUUCGCUGUUGUCAGCCGGGGCAGACAUCGACAAUGAUCCUUUCGCAGGUUCAACUAUAAAAUCCUUGUCACGAGUUCUGUUUUCUCUAAACGAUAAUUCUUACCGGACUUAUCGCAUUGACGCUGGUUCGUCAGCGCCCGUGUACGAAUCCCCGUUCGCAAUAUACGGCUGGACGACGGGUCCGUGACCCGCGGACAAGGUUGUCAUUCGCGAUUUUUGGCUGCGACGUGCAUCGCAGGAAAUCCAUUUUUGCUGCCUACAUAUUCGCGAAAAUCCGCGCAGGAGUUUUUUUGGG